UGCCAGCCGCCGCGGUAACACGGGGGGCGCAAGCGUUAUUCGGAAUCACUGGGCUUAAAGGGCGUGUAGGCGGCCGAUCAAGUCGGAUGUGAAAUCCCUCGGCUCAACCGAGGAACUGCAUUCGAUACUGGUCAGCUAGAGUGCGAGAGGGGUGAGUGGAACUCCAGGUGUAGCGGUGAAAUGCGUAGAUAUCUGGAGGAACAUCAGUGGCGAAGGCGGCUCCCUGGCCAAAGACUGACGCUCAUGUGCGAAAGUGUGGGUAGCGAACAGGAUUAGAUA
rnacentral:rRNA from 1 species